AGCGAACGCUGGCGGCAGGCCUAACACAUGCAAGUCGAACGAACUCUUCGGAGUUAGUGGCGGACGGGUGAGUAACACGUGGGAACGUGCCUUUUGGUUCGGAAUAACUCAGGGAAACUUGUGCUAAUACCGAAUGUGCCCUUCGGGGGAAAGAUUUAUCGCCAUUAGAGCGGCCCGCGUCUGAUUAGCUAGUUGGUGAGGUAACGGCUCACCAAGGCGACGAUCAGUAGCUGGUCUGAGAGGAUGACCAGCCACACUGGGACUGGGACACGGCCCAGACUCCUACGGGAGGCGGCAGUGGGGAAUCUUGCGCAAUGGGCGAAAGCCUGACGCAGCCAUGCCGCGUGAAUGAUGAAGGUCUUAGGAUUGUAAAAUUCUUUCACCGGGGACGAUAAUGACGGUACCCGGAGAAGAAGCCCCGGCUAACUUCGUG
rnacentral:rRNA from 1 species